rnacentral:lncRNA from 1 species
AAUGAUUGUAUAUUUUUUAAAAAAUUAAUAAGUAUUAUAUAAAAUUAUAUAGAAUUAUACGUAGAUUCGGAUAUUCAAAUACGGAUCGAAUAGUUGUCUAUCCAUUUUCAUAUUUAUUUUUCUUUGAUGGAUAUAGAUACAGAUACGAAUAUAGAUAUUAAUCGGAUCAUCAAAUUUUUUUCUAUAUCCGAAUUGAUUCAAAUAUAAAAAUGAAUCCGAACAGAUAACAUCUAUGCCACUUUCAUCUCUAUUGGGAAUGGAUCGGAAUAGGAAUUGAAAUGAUAAUAUUCUCCAACAUGUUUGGUUCAUGAUCAAAAUUAGAAUAAAACUUGAAUAUAAUGAAAGAAUAGAGAUUGGAUUUUAUAGAAUAACGAUAUUUCUAUUUUUUUUAAAAGUCAAAAUAGAAAUAAAAUCUUUGGUGACCAAAUAACUAAAAUGAAAGCCUCUCAUAUCAAAUUUCAUUCCGGAGCCUAACUUUCUCCGACCAAACAGGAUCCUAGAAAAAUCUUUGUUUUUCAUCUACCAAAUGAUAGCUUGCAUGAGGAUCUAAAGGAGACCAAACCGGAUGCCCCAAAAAUCGCAUCAUUAGAAAGAUGAGAGAGAGGGGAGAGG